GGAAAUACCAUAGCUCAGUGGCCGAGCAUCUGCUUUGCAUGCAGGAAGUCCCAAGUUCAAUUCCUGGUAUCUCCC